CCUACGGGUGGCAGCAGUGAGGGAUAUUGGUCAAUGGGGGAAACCCUGAACCAGCAACGCCGCGUGAGGGAAGACGGUUUUCGGAUUGUAAACCUCUGUUCUCUGUGGAGAUAAUGACGGUAGCAGAGGAGGAAGCUCCGGCUAACUACGUGCCAGCAGCCGCGGUAAUACGUAGGGAGCCAGCGUUGUCCGGAUUUACUGGGUGUUAAGGGUGCGUAGGCGGGUUUGCAAGUCAGAAGUGAAAUCCAUGGGCUUAACCCAUGAACUGCUGUUGAAACUGCAGAGCUUGAGUGGAGUAGAGGUAGGCGGAAUGCGCGGUGUAGCGGUGAAAUGCGUAGAGAUCGGGAAGAACACCAGUUGCGAAGGCGGCCUACUGGGCUCUAACUGACGCUGAGGCACGAAAGCGUGGGUAGCAAACAGGAUUAGAUACCCUGGUAGUC
rnacentral:rRNA from 1 species